UACGGGGGGGGCAAGCGUUGUUCGGAUUUACUGGGCGUAAAGCGCGCGCAGGCGGUCGUUCAAGUCGAGUGUGAAAGCCCCCGGCUCAACUGGGGAGGGUCACGCGAUACUGGUCGACUCGAAGGCAGGAGAGGGUAGUGGAAUUCCCGGUGUAGUGGUGAAAUGCGUAGAUAUCGGGAGGAACACCAGUGGCGAAGGCGACUACCUGGCCUGUUCUUGACGCUGAGGCGCGAAAGCUAGGGGAGCAAACGGG
rnacentral:rRNA from 1 species